rnacentral:rRNA from 1 species
UAUGAAUCUCAUGUCUCAAGAUUAAGCCAUGCAUGUCUAAGUACACACUGUGGCACAGUGAAGCCGCGAAUGGCUCAUUAAAUCAGUUAUGGUUUAUUAGAUCGUGCGUUCCUAUGUGGAUAACUGUGGUAAUUCUAGAGCUAAUACAUGCAACUGGUCCUGACUUUGUUGGAAGGACGCUCUUAUUAGAUCAAAACCAAUCCGGUUCGCCGGUUGUUGUGAUGACUCUGGAUAAUUUUGUGCCGACCGCAUGGCCUUGAGCCGGCGGCGUAUCUUUCAAAUGUCUGCCCUAUCAACUUUCGAUGGUAGGUGACAUGCCUACCAUGGUUGUAACGGGUAACGGAGAAUCAGGGUUCGAUUCCGGAGAGGGAGCCUGAGAAACGGCUACCACAUCCAAGGAAGGCAGCAGGCGCGCAAAUUACCCACUCCCGGCACGGGGAGGUAGUGACGAAAAAUAACAAUACGAGACUCAUCCGAGGCUUCGUAAUUGGAAUGGGUACACUUCAAAUCCUUUAACGAGGAACAAUUGGAGGGCAAGUCUGGUGCCAGCAGCCGCGGUAAUUCCAGCUCCAAUAGCGUAUAUUAAAGUUGCUGCGGUUAAAAAGCUCGUAGUUGGAUCUCGGCGGGCAGCCGGGCGGUCUGCAUUGCUGCAGCCACUGCUCUGGUUUUUGUUUUGCCCGUGUUUGUUAUUUGCUGGUUUGCCAGGCCGGUGAUCUUGAUCGGUCGUCGGCCCUGGGUCAGCAGUUUUACUUUGAAAAAAUUAGGGUGCUCAAAGCAGGCUGUUGACAGCUUGAAUAUUCGUGCAUGGAAUAAUGGAAUAGGAGGCCGUUCCUAUUUUGUUGGUUUUCGGGAACCGACUUAAUGAUUAACGGGGACUGUCGGGGGCAUUUGUAUUCAGCCGCUAGAGGUGAAAUUCUUGGACCGGCUGAAGACAAACUACUGCGAAAGCAUUUGCCAAGGAUGUUUUCAUUAAUCAAGAACGAAAGUUAGAGGUUCGAAGGCGAUUAGAUACCGCCCUAGUUCUAACCAUAAACGAUGCCAGCCAGCGAUCGCGUGUAUUCUUAACGACCCAGCGGGGAGCUCGGAAAUCAAGCUGGUGGUUCAGGAGGUAUGCUGCAAGCUGAACUUAAGUAAUUGACGGAAGGGCACCACCAGGGCUGGGAGCCUGU